rnacentral:lncRNA from 10 species
GAAUCGUGACUGGUAUCUGCCCAAGUUUCCCUCUGGCCAGGGAUCCUCACUCAGCAUUCAAAAAGGAAAGCUGCGUUCGCGGUUCUUUAUUACUUAUAUAUUUAUUUUGAGGGUUUUUUUAUUACUUAAUUAGUUAUUUUGAGAUGGAGCCUCGGUCGCCCAGGCUGGAGUGCAGUGACACAAUCUCGGCUCACUGCAACCUCUGCCUCCUGGGUUCAAGCAAUUUUCCUGCUUCAGCCUCCCAAGUAGCUGGGAUUACAGGUGCAUGCUACCACACCCGGCUAAUUUUUGUAUUUUUAGUAGGGACAGGGUUUCUUCAUGUUGGCCAGGCUGGUCUCGAACUCCUGACCUUAGGUGAUCCGCUGGCCUCAGCCUCCCAAAGUGCUGGGAUUACAGGCCUGAACCACCUCAUCCCACCCCGCGGCUCUCUAAAUGUUGUACUCUGAACAAAAAUAUAUUUCGGGGAAUGUUACCUUUUAGAAUGAACUAAUAGAGUGAUUGAACUUAAUUUAACUUUUUCCUUUUGUUUUGAAGGCCUCUAGGGAAGUUGAUAAAGUUAUAAUUUAUCGUUUUGCAAGGGACAUUCCAGAAAAGCAGUUUGUUUAAUUUUUUUGUUUUUAAAGACAAGCAAAGGUCAUAGAGACCAACUCAACUUUUUUUUUUUUUUUUUGAGAUGGAGUUUCACUCUGGUUGCCCAGGCUAGAGUGGUGCAGUGGCACGAUCUUGGCUCACUGCAACCUCCGCCUCCCAGGUUCAAGUGAUUCUUCUGCCUCAGCCUCCCAAGUAGCUGGGACUACAGGCACACGCCGCCAUGCCCAGCUAAUUUUUGUAUUUUUAGUAGAGACGGGGUUUCACCAUAUUGGCCAGGCUGGUCUUGAACUCCUGACCUCGUGAUCCGCUGUCCUUGGCCUCCCAAAGUGCUAGGAUUACAGGCGCGAGCCAUUGUGCCCAGCCCCAACUCAACUUUUAAUUUAACUUUGGGAAGGCUGUUUUGAAAAGAGGGGUUAUUUUUUAAAAUUUGG